UAGGGAAUCUUCCGCAAUGGGCGAAAGCCUGACGGAGCAACGCCGCGUGAGUGAUGAAGGUCUUCGGAUCGUAAAACUCUGUUAUUAGGGAAGAACAAAUGUGUAAGUAACUAUGCACAUCUUGACGGUACCUAAUCAGAAAGCCACGGCUAACUACGUGCCAGCAGCCGCGGUAAUACGUAGGUGGCAAGCGUUAUCCGGAAUUAUUGGGCGUAAAGCGCGCGUAGGCGGUUUUUUAAGUCUGAUGUGAAAGCCCACGGCUCAACCGUGGAGGGUCAUUGGAAACUGGAAAACUUGAGUGCAGAAGAGGAAAGUGGAAUUCCAUGUGUAGCGGUGAAAUGCGCAGAGAUAUCGAGGAACACCAGUGGCGAAGGCGACUUUCUGGUCUGUAACUGACGCUGAUGUGCGAAAGCGUGGGGAUCAAACAGG
rnacentral:rRNA from 1 species